rnacentral:rRNA from 1 species
GACGAACGCUGGCGGCGUGCCUAAUACAUGCAAGUAGAACGCACAGUUUAUACCGUAGCUUGCUACACCAUAGACUGUGAGUUGCGAACGGGUGAGUAACGCGUAGGUAACCUGCCUGGUAGCGGGGGAUAACUAUUGGAAACGAUAGCUAAUACCGCAUAAUAUUGAUUAUUGCAUGAUAAUUGAUUGAAAGAUGCUAUUGCAUCACUACCAGAUGGACCUGCGUUGUAUUAGCUAGUAGGUGAGGUAACGGCUCACCUAGGCGACGAUACAUAGCCGACCCGAGAGGGUGAUCGGCCACACUGGGACUGAGACACGGCCCAGACUCCUACGGGAGGCAGCAGUAGGGAAUCUUCGGCAAUGGACGAAAGUCUGACCGAGCAACGCCGCGUGAGUGAAGAAGGUUUUCGGAUCGUAAAGCUCUGUUGUAAGAGAAGAACGGGUGUGAGAGUGGAAAGUUCACACUGUGACGGUAUCUUACCAGAAAGGGACGGCUAACUACGUG